AGCCAAUGUCUUGACCUGUUACCUGUUUACAGGUAACCAAUGUGUUACCUUUUCCCAUCAAUGUAAUGCUUUUUUAGUGUUUGAAUUAAAUGAAAGGCUGAAAACUUUGAUUAAUUCUUUGUAUUGUAUCCUGUGUUCCGUUCUUUAGAGUACUCGAGUAGCUUUAGACCACCUGGAGUCUGUUCCUGAGAAACUGAGCCUGUUAGAAGAUUUCAAAGAUUUUGGAGAGUCACAUUGCCGCAGGGAGAUGAUAGAAGAACGGUGUAUGAAAUAUAAAGAUAUAGUGAGUUCCCUACAGCAGCAACUGGAAGAUUCAAAAAAAAGAGUCCAACAGUUCAAGGUGGCUGCUCCCUCUUCUAGUUGGCGAACUCAAAGCAGCUUUUUGUCCAGCUCACUGCUUUCAGAUUCAGGUUGUAAGUAUUGUUUCACAGAAAAAAUCCACAACAAAAAUUUC
rnacentral:lncRNA from 1 species